GUAAAUGCUCCCAUGAUCCCCUGUUUGAUAAAACAAGUGUGAGGUAAGGGUGAGAGAGGAGGAUGUGCUGUUAGGAGCUGGGAGUCAGAAUUAAAGAGUUGAGUUGAUCCCAAGGAAAUCCAACUUUAUUUUUCUUCCUUCUUCCCAUAGCCCCCCACGAAGAGUUUAUUCAUUUUAGAACGUUUUUGUAAAGUGAUCCAUGUGUUCUUUGAGCCUGAUAGUAUGCUCAAAUGUUCUUCUGGAAUGUUUUCUCUUUCUGUUAAAAUAAUACAUUUAUUAACUUCAUGGAACUAAAUUAAAUUAGGCUAUUCAGUCAGGAAGAAUGGCGUGGCUGGACAGGACUUUUACCCAGGAAUACGGAAAAUGGUAAACAUCUCUUACUUUGGCCAGUGUGACCAUGGGUAAGUUUGCUUUGUAAGUAUCUCCUAGUGCUGCCCCUUGGUGGUUGUGGGACCUUAGGUCAGUCUCUGAACUCUUGGUUGUGGAAGUUUUUUCAUCUCUGGGUGGAAGAUGAUAACACCUAGUUCAUACGCUUGCCAGAAGAUCUAAGAAUAAGUGUGUUCUGAAUGCUCCCAAAUGAGGAGAGACCAAAUGUACAGUUUAUGUAAGAGGAAAAUCCAUCAUAGUGGACAAAUCAGAACAGCAAAGCGUGAUGUCAUAGCAUUAUACUAUUUUCAGAGAAACCAAGAUGUAGGUGACUGUGUGGGUACUUGGAAGUAUGAAGAAUGGGAAAUAAGAGCUCUAGUUAGAGUUCUCACACUGGCUCUCAAAUGACUAACACUGUUCAUGUGGGUGCUUUCCCAACAGCCAAUGAUGUUCCCAUCCCACAUGGUAAAUGAGAUACCCAGACACAUCGCUCUAGUCUUGACUAGAGUUUUUGUUGUUGCUUUGGGUUUUUAUAUUGGUGGGGUUAGGUAUGCACAUGCAUGAUCACUGUGGUCAGUGCUGACCAAUGUCUGUAGAUCAAGUGCUAAGUGUCCCUCAGGUCUUAUCUUGUGAACAUGACAGUCUAAUCUUUACUUCUCCUGAGAUGUCCACAGACUAACAAUCCAGAUAAAAUUAGGUUUUGCUACACACAAGAAAACAUGUAGUCUACAGAACACUGAAAUUCAUCUACUAUUUGAAAGAUUUCAAAAAAAUUGGCUGUGGGGGUAUGAAGAAAGCAAAUAUUGCAAGCUUUAGCAAGGCAGAGAUGCAGCUAUAGCAUGAAGUUCCCAGGGCUUCAGCUCCUCUCUUGUCUUGCUCAAGGCUUUUGGACUUCUGGGGAGCCUGUCUCAGACAAGCCACUUAACUGUAAGGCUGGUUUAUGAGGAUACUUUCCAUAUUUACUGUGCUGUGCUAGGCAUUACAAUUUGAACAUGAAACCAACCUCCUUGGGCUUGUGUGCUGAAACUUGGUCCUCAGAUAGUGGUAUUAUUUUAGGCUGUUCUAAAAAGUUUAGGAUGGGGAAUAAAUGGAGGAAGUAGAUCCUAGAGGCAUACUCUUUGAAAGUUUUGAACUAGUUCCCAGUUCCCUCUUCCGUUUCCUGCUUGUCUUGGGCAGUUUCCCACAUGUGCUGCUGCUACCACAGUACUCUGCCCAGGUACAUGAGACUAAGUAGUAAUGGACUGAACCUUCUGAAACCCUGAGAAAAAUCUCUUUCAUCUAAACUGUUUACAUCAGAUAUUCUGUCACAGUGACACAGAUAUAAGAAACCAGGUUGCUGUGGCUUCAGUGUAAAGCAUGUCUCAGUUUAUAGCUUAAUUGGAAAGACAGGAAAGUGGCAAAGGAGUUUUAGAAGUGCUCUGAUUGUGGCAACCUGAGGAGAGAAAGCUGUAACAGUCCAAAGAAGACACAUGAAACUGGGGAUGAUGCUUAGGGCAGAGUUUUGACUGUACAUGCUAAGGCCAGCUUUCUGGUUGCAACUCUGACCCUCUGGACUACAGAACUGACUAGUAUUCAGUAGCACACUCAUGUGACACAUUGUGAGGACACCCGACCAAGGGUGCAUCACUAGGUGAUCCUAUGCAAACAACCCAGAGCCAGCAGGUCUAUGUUAAGUUCCUUGAAGUUAGGUGCUUGAAAUGAGCACAAACUCUGUUAACAGAUGGGUGAACAGGAGAUGGCUGGAGCUGCUGCUGUAACACAGUACUGUGCUUCAUAGUAAACAGCUUUUAUAAGUAGGAGGACUGCAGUCUGCAAUAAUGAUGAGUAUGGUAUAGUAUAGUAUAGUAUAGUAUGGUAUAGUAUAGUAUAGCAUAUGUGGAAAUUAGUAACAGCUGCUUAUUGUUACUAUUGAUCACCCUGUGCCAUAUGUAACUGUGAGUGGCAUGCUUAUGGCUGGUAGUACAGUAAUUUUGUUUACACCAGCAUCAUCACAAGUAUAUAAGCAAUGCCUUAUGUUGUGACACUACCACAGUUGUGACAUCACUAGCCAAUAGACUAUAAUCUUAUGCACAUACAUUAUUGUGUAUGCAGCUGCUACAGAAAUGCAGAUAGGUGGCACAUGGCUGUGCCCUGACACACACAGGACCCCUGCUUUGGUUUGGUCUUGUGUGUAACAUAAUUUAUGUAAUUUCAGCACAGCUGUCUGACAACCCACUGUCCCAUGCAGGUGGGACCAGGCUUUGCUGUCUGGUGAAUGGUGUUAGCAUCUCUUCUUGGAAUCAGUAGCUACCCUAGAGCACUAAGGAGCACUAAACAGUAUCAGGUAUGUUUAAUCCACUUGAAGAAUCUCGGAAUUGUCUCCUCCUCACAGAGUUCAAUGUGCUGUUGAACACCUUCUGGAUUUCAACAGUCAGUGUUACAUCGCAACAUGGGAAACAACUUAGGUAUCUUGUCACAAACAAAUCUUCUAUGACCCCAAAGAAUUGGCAGUUAUGAACAUUAUCCAAAGAAGUCAAUUUCCCAAGCUAUUACAGGAAUAACUUCAGGUGUCACCAUUGGGACUGUGGAACUGAUCACCUCUGAACACACAUCACCAGCUUUCUUCCCAGUUCAUCGAGGACCUCUGACAGGUGACCCAACCAUCCUCACUCUUCAAGAACAAAUUGACUCCUGGUCAGAAGUAUACUCCCAAACCAACUGGGACUCGAUCUCCUUACAGCUGAAAAAGGCAGCCUUUGCCUCGUCCUCUGAGAGGAACACUGAUUUUAUGUCAGUCCAUCAGAUAGAGUAAAAAACAAAAUCCAACAACUUCAAACAGACCUCCAAAGAUGUAAGGAACAACUCAAUGUCUCAGCCUCUGAGCCUCUGAGAACCACAUAUGGAAUUAGAUACUGCCUUCCCUGAUCCCUCUCCUUUUCAUUUUUCUGUUUUUAUUAAUUGUACUCUGCUUUAUCAAUUUCUUCUAUACAUUUCUUCAAUGACACAUUCAAAGAAUCUCUAAUCCAAUAAUUAACCAGUCAUUUUUACAGGACUACCAAUUCCAAGCCACAGAGCUGGCAGCUCAUAACUACUGAAUAUGUCCUGAUGGUGAGGACCAACAGUGCCCCAAAGAUACCAACACCUGAAGACAACAGGAAGCAGUCUAAAGGGCAUAGCACCCUCGUGCUCGCCUCACCAGCCACCUCUUCCUAUUUCUUUACCUCUUAUAAUAAACAAAAGGGAGGGAUACUGGUAAACCAAGAAGAACCCACAUUUCAGAACAGGUGCCCCUCCAUCCCCCACCCCAACUACAGUGACUCAGUGUGAGUGGCCUCUUCAUCAAUAGCAGUAAAUGCGACACAUUUCCACUGUUCCGAUGGUUGUGUUUUCCCUAUGUGCAUGUUCUGUACCUCUUAUAAAGCCCCCCACCACCACAGCCUGCUCUCUUUCUUUCUUUUCAAUUCUGGCUCAGAGGCAGUCUUUUACAUAUAACUCCUGCCCCAAUAAAUCUCUUGCAUGAGAUCUUUUGCAUGGUAUGAUUUUGUGCUAUUCCUUGACCUUCUGACCACUGCAAAACAGCAAUAUCCAGGUUCUCAUGUCAGCUGCUUAGGAGAGGUCACCAGGGCAUUUUUAACUGCUCUGGAACUUGGAGAGCCAUUAAACAGCAUCUGUUCAUUAAUCAAGGCUUUCCCACCAGAUGAUGGAAUAUCCAUUCAAAGUUGGUAGUGUCCCAGAGUUAAAAGCUGCCAUGUGGACCCUCCCUCAAAGUUCCACAAUUAAAGCAGGCUCAGACUAGAGGGGAUUGCUACUCUUUGUCUGUAACCAUUCCAUCCAAGGAAAGUCAGGCUACCUUCUCUCUUUGUUAUGUCAGCAAUUUACCAACAGAAAGAUACCUUGGACGUGGGGUAUGGCAGAGGUGCAAGAAUAAUUCAUAAAACAAAAUCAGGCUGCAGAGUUGCUCCCCUGAGGUUCUACCCUAUGUGGGAAAAUGUUGAGCACACAAGAGCCCAGAGCCAGCUGUUUGGACUUUGUGUGGUAAGGAUUUGCUCUCUGUUUUGGAGUAUCAUUGUGUCUUGGCAGGAAGAGUUUGGGAAAUUGUUGGAAUUAUAUCUCUACCCUCUUCUCAUAAUCAUUUAGUUUUAUUUUUAAUUCGUUAGCCAGUCACCAAAAAGACUGGGUAUUUCAAAGUUGUAUAUACUAGGUUUUAUCAUAUACUAAAUCUGUUAUAAAAAUUAAUGCAACAAACAAGCUUAAAAAGAAUGAUAAUACUUCAUAAUUAAUAAUCCUCUGGCAUGCCAGAGGUCCUCAAGAGGAAGGGAACUUGAGAGAGGCUGUGACCCACACCUGUUAGUCAUGGUACUCCUUAAUACAUUCUCAUAAAGGCAGAGACCUAAUGACCUAAAUAUCUCUUAACAUCUUCACUUUACCUAGCUCCACUUUUUUAAAGCCAGUGUUGAAUUAGUUUAUUUUACAAUAAACUAUAUUAAUUUAUUAUACUGAAAAUAAAAAGCUUUUGAUACUAUCUAGAAUUGUUGUAUCUCAGUAUAUCACAGUGUAGAUGAAAUCUCAACAUGUAUUGUUGUGGGGACAUUCAAAUCACAGCAAUGCACAUUUUAAUGUUUACACAGAUGUACACAUAAUUUAUGUAUGUAUGUGAAUCAAUAUGUUUAAAUAACAUAUGCACACUUAUUUAUUUAUUAUAUAUAUCAGAAAGGCCAACAAUAUAGACUAGAAAGGAAAAUCCACAUGGCACCAAUACUCAGAAGUCUACUGCCUAUUCUCUUCAAGGUCUCAUAUUCUUUGGUUAAGAUCAUUUUCAAAAAUCGGCAAAACUGUUUAUCACUAGAGAUGCUUGCUGCCCACCCUGGCCAACCUAAGUUCAAUUCCUGGAAUCAUAUGGUGGAAAGAGAGAACUGCUCCAGCAAGUUGUUUCUGACUUUCGCAUAUACAUUUGCCAUGGCACAUUCAACCCCCAAUAAAUAAAUAAUCAAGUAAAUGUGAACUUUUUAAAGUUAACAUCAUGAUUAAGUUGUUUUAAAAACUGUUAAGAAUGCUUGUAUUCCCAACUUCUUUGUUCCCGCUUUCAAUAAAAAUUAAGCUUCUUAAGGCAGUUAA